rnacentral:rRNA from 1 species
UACGUAGGGUGCAAGCGUUAAUCGGAAUUACUGGGCGUAAGCGUGCGCAGGCGGUUUUGUAAGUCUGUCGUGAAAUCCCCGGGCUCAACCUGGGAAUUGCGAUGGAGACUGCAAGGCUAGAAUCUGGCAGAGGGGGGUAGAAUUCCACGUGUGAGCAGUGAAAUGCGUAGAGAUGUGGAGGAACACCGAUGGCGAAGGCAGCCCCCUGGGUCAAGGAUUGACGCUCAUGCACGAAAGCGUGGG